UGACUAUAUAACCACCUAAUAGGAUAACAAAAAUUCAUUAAACAGAUGUGAACUUUGUAAUGCUAUAUGUCAUACCAAAUCAACAACACUGAUCCACUGGAAAGACUUUACUCCCAAUUAAGGAAAAAGGCCUUCUCCAGAUGAGUCUAGUCAAACCAUAGAGGAUAACCCAUAUGUAAGAAAGGGGUCAAGGGAAGCAUUUGAAGCAAAACCAACAAGUGAUGGCGGUCUGUUUCUACGGAUAGACAUGCCUGGGGUUGCAAAAGGAGAUGCUACAGUGUGGGUGGUUGGUGGCGAUGUCAGAUUCUGUGGCAAAGCAAGAAAAGUGCUAUUACACGUGGAUCUGACGUGUCGAGAAGUUGUAUAAAAGUGAGAUCCACAAGUGCGACUCUGUUAUUCCGGCAAAAGAAUCAUUCCGGCAAACUAAUUUAAAUGGAGACACUUUAUUGAAAAUUUUUAAAAAAUUCACCAAA